rnacentral:ncRNA from 2 species
CUAUGACUCCCCCUCGAUGGUUCCCCAUGUGGGAUUGAAUGGGAAUGCGGUGAGCGUCGGCGGCGGCGCGAUUCCGCGGCUGCCCCCGCAACUGUGAGCGGAUAGCCGAAGACCGAAAGCCACUGGCGCGCAAGCUCCGGGAAGGCGGUCCGACCGGCGAUGACCCGCGAGCCAGGAGACCUGCCAUCAUUCGUGGUCACGC